ACUGGGACGGGGCCGAGGACGGGAUGAAUAAACCCUAGGAGGCCCAGGCGAGUUAGGAAAAGGGGUGGGGUAAAAAUACCGUCCUCCCCUAGUGGGAGGAAUCGGAAAAGCACGCUCCACCCUAGGGUCAUCCCUGGUGCCCCGGUCCUUUGAUCUCUCCUUAUUGUUUUUACCGUGGGCCUUAGCUUCUGGGUUACAACACCUUUGGUUGCGGGAGCGACCUCUUUUCCCGCAAUGGACCGUUGUCCAUCCCUCUGUUCGGGGUUUAAUUCCAAAUCUGGCUUGUUUUUGGUUGCGGGAGCGACCUCUUCUCCCGUAAUGGACCGCUGUCCAGUCCUCCGUACGGGGCUCCAUUCCAAAUGUUCUUCUUAGCUUGUCCCCAAGCAAAUCAAAGAGAAAAAAAGAAAAAAAGCAAUCAAAAAAACCAAAAAUGUAAAGUUAAACUAAAAUCAAAAAAUAAAAAAUUGCUAGUUCAAAAACUGUUUUUUUGUAUUUUUUCUUUUUUAAGAUUAUUUCAAAAAAUGUGUGCCAAUCGCGACGUUUCGACGUUGUUUUUCGUCUUCCUCAGGCUGUGGCACUUAUAAACUCAAAUUCGGCGUAUGUCAAUCCGCUUCUGCCGGAGGCAUGUUUCCUCUUCGACGGCGAGAUCCCAACUAAAAAAGACGCUGCUCAACGGUCUGCCUUAUAUAAGAGGGUGUUGCGCAACACCCUCCGUAAGUAGGUCAACCGUCUUUUCACUGUUCGUCUUUUCACUGUGUUCGUCUAUGUGAAUUAAGCUCGAACAGUCCCCUUCCUAUACAAUCAAAUAAAUUUUAAAUAAAAAUACUAUAAAAUAGAAUAAAACUGAGGCGAGCUUGGUAAAAUAAAAAAAAUAAAAAUAUAAAAUAAUUCUUAAAAAAUAAAAAAUAAUAAUACCACUAAAUAAAGCUAAUUACAAAACAAAAAUUGGGGUGGGGAUAGGGUUAGGGUUAGGGUUAGGGCCAGGGGUAACAUACAAAUACACCUAUAAGGGUUAGGGUUAGGGUUAGGGUCUGGGGUAACACACACACACACACACCUAUGGUUAGGGUUAGGGUUAGGGUCAGGGGUCAGGGUUAGAGGGUUAGGGUUAGGGUUAGGAAAAGGGGUGGGGUAAAAAUACCGUCCUCCCCUAGUGGGAGGAAUCGGAAAAGCACGCUCCACCCUAGGGUCAUCCCUGGUGCCCCGGUCCUUAGAUCUCUCCUUAUUGUUCUUACCGUGGGCCUUAGCUUCUGGGUUACAACACCUUUGGUUGCGGGAGCGACCUCUUUUCCCGCAAUGGACCGUUGUCCAUCCCUCUGUUUGGGGUUUAAUUCCAAAUCUAGCUUGUUUUUGGUUGCGGGAGCGACCUCUUCUCCCGUAAUGGACCGCUGUCCAGUCCUCCGUACGGGGCUCCAUUCCAAAUGUUCUUCUUAGCUUGUCCCCAAGCAAAUCAAAGA